GCAGCAUAUAAUUAUGCGGCUGGGCGUGGCCAGGAGCCAAUUAUGAUGGGGUCGUGGAUAAAAGAGCGGCCCCUCCUACGCCUCCUCCCUCUGUCUCCCGCUGGCGUAAUUUCCGGGACGUCCUGUGUGGCUGCAACAGGGGCUGUGGGUGGAUUCUGGCUCCAUGUGGUCUCCUUGUCUGGUGCGUAUCCUCUCUCGUUGUGCUGGAUCUCUCGUUAUCAGUAGUUUAAUGUAGUGUGGUCACAGGUAAAUGCUGGUAGCGGCUCGCUGCUCUUGCCUCGUCUCACUGGUUGCAUGAACAGGUGCUGUACCAUAAGGUAUGUAGUUCAUUCUUUCUGAGUCUAACCUGUCCUGUGGGGGGAGCGAUCGGGUAUUUAAUUUCCUUUUUGUUUAAGUAGGAUCAAGUCCAUCACCUCCAUUGGCUCCCUUCCGUCUGCAUGACUUCUGCUGCUUUGUCCUGCUUCAAGUUCCUGUCCGUCCGUGCAGCUGUUUCCCGGCUCGGGUUUGGCUGGCUCCGGCGUGCUGCGGUGCUUUGCUGCCGUCCGUCCUAUUGCGCUGGUCGCCCACCUGUGGUUGGGUCGUUCGCCUUCGCCGCGGCUCGUAGCAGCCCGUUCUCGGCUGCCAGCGUCCGCUCUUUUUUUAGGGCUGACGGCCUGUAGUGGUGUGGGUGAUCGUAGGAGAUUCUCCUGUCUGCUGUGCCGUUUCCAGGGAUGUGGGUCGUUCACGGGUGUGCUCUUUUCACGUGUGUCUGGGGGAACUUUUACUUUGGGGACCCCUCCUUUCGCUUGCCCUAGCUACUUUUAGGCCGAAGCCCUUGAUUAACUUUUGUUUUUGCAUUUUCUUUUGUUUGGAUCCUUUGUAUUAAUAAAAUAUUAUUGUGACUAA